GAGAAACUUGCUUCUCUGAAGUUAGCGGCGGACGGGUGAGUAACACGUGGGUAACCUACCUAUAAGACUGGGAUAACUCCGGGAAACCGGGGCUAAUACCGGAUAAUAUUUUGAACCGCAUGGUUCAAUAGUGAAAGACGGUUUCGGCUGUCACUUAUAGAUGGACCCGCGCCGUAUUAGCUAGUUGGUAAGGUAACGGCUUACCAAGGCGACGAUACGUAGCCGACCUGAGAGGGUGAUCGGCCACACUGGAACUGAGACACGGUCCAGACUCCUACGGGAGGCAGCAGUAGGGAAUCUUCCGCAAUGGGCGAAAGCCUGACGGAGCAACGCCGCGUGAGUGAUGAAGGUCUUCGGAUCGUAAAACUCUGUUGUUAGGGAAGAACAAAUUUGUUAGUAACUGAACAAGUCUUGACGGUACCUAACCAGAAAGCCACGGCUAACUACGUGCCAGCAGCCGCGGUAAUACGUAGGUGGCAAGCGUUAUCCGGAAUUAUUGGGCGUAAAGCGCGCGUAGGCGGUUUCUUAAGUCUGAUGUGAAAGCCCACGGCUCAACCGUGGAGGGUCAUUGGAAACUGGGAAACUUGAGUGCAGAAGAGGAGAGUGGAAUUCCAUGUGUAGCGGUGAAAUGCGCAGAGAUAUGGAGGAACACCAGUGGCGAAGGCGGCUCUCUGGUCUGUAACUGACGCUGAUGUGCGAAAGCGUGGGGAUCAAACAGGAUUAGAUACCCUGGUAGUCCACGCCGUAAACGAUGAGUGCUAAGUGUUAGGGGGUUUCCGCCCCUUAGUGCUGCAGCUAACGCAUUAAGCACUCCGCCUGGGGAGUACGACCGCAAGGUUGAAACUCAAAGGAAUUGACGGGGACCCGCACAAGCGGUGGAGCAUGUGGUUUAAUUCGAAGCAACGCGAAGAACCUUACCAAAUCUUGACAUCCUUUGACCGCUCUAGAGAUAGAGUCUUCCCCUUCGGGGGACAAAGUGACAGGUGGUGCAUGGUUGUCGUCAGCUCGUGUCGUGAGAUGUUGGGUUAAGUCCCGCAACGAGCGCAACCCUUAAGCUUAGUUGCCAUCAUUAAGUUGGGCACUCUAGGUUGACUGCCGGUGACAAACCGGAGGAAGGUGGGGAUGACGUCAAAUCAUCAUGCCCCUUAUGAUUUGGGCUACACACGUGCUACAAUGGAUAAUACAAAGGGCAGCGAAUCCGCGAGGCCAAGCAAAUCCCAUAAAAUUAUUCUCAGUUCGGAUUGUAGUCUGCAACUCGACUACAUGAAGCUGGAAUCGCUAGUAAUCGUAGAUCAGCAUGCUACGGUGAAUACGUUCCCGGGUCUUGUACACACCGCCCGUCUAAAACGAGAGUUUGUAA
rnacentral:rRNA from 1 species